UGAGAAAACACCCUUUCACUUGUGUCU
rnacentral:piRNA from 1 species